GACAGAGGGUGCAAACGUUGUUCGGAAUUACUGGGCGUAAAGCGCGUGUAGGCGGCUAAGUAAGUCGGGCGUGAAAUCCCACGGCUCAACCGUGGAAGUGCACUCGAAACUGCAUAGCUAGAGUCCUGGAGAGGAAGGUGGAAUGCUUGGUGUAGAGGUGAAAUUCGUAGAUAUCAAGAGGAACACCUGAGGUGAAGACGGGUUGCUGGGCUGACACCGACGCUGAGGCGCGAAAGCUAGGGUAGCAAACGGG
rnacentral:rRNA from 1 species